rnacentral:rRNA from 1 species
CAGCCGCCGCGGUAAUACGGAGGAUGCAAGCGUUGUCCGGAAUCAUUGGGCGUAAAGGGUCCUGAGGUGGUUUGCUCAGUCCACUGUGAAAGUUCAGGGCUUACCCUUGAAAAUGCGGUGGAAACUAGUAGGCUAGAGUACGGUGGGGGCAGAGGGAAUUCCCGAUGUAGCGGUGAAAUGCAUAGAUAUCGGGAAGAACACCGAUGGCGAAGGCACUCUGCUGGGCCGACACUGACACUGAAAGACGAAAGCCAGGGGAGCGAAUGGGAUUAGAUACCCGGGUAGUCCCUGUCUCUUAUAC